UAUUGUCCUUUAUUAUGAUGACGCCGUUUGGACGAAGGCUCUUCUUACAGCGCUUCAGGAAGUUCAUCAGGUCCUUGUCUGUUAAGUGGCCUGAAGAGAAAGAAAGAUACAGAAUGAAAACAAAAAAAAAAAUCCAAACUGACAUCAUGUAUAGAUUUCUUGUAGGGAAUUUCUUCCUUUACUUGACUUCAUAUAAAAACAGGCUAAACCACAGGUUGUCCUGCUGCAGGCUGCUGGUCAAGACAGGCACUGACAUAAAGACAUUUUUUCUUUCGUUUAUUCUCCAUCUCGCCAUUCAAGCUAAGUGACCCGGACGUCCUUCUCCAUGCUCACGUUCUCCAGCUCCUUGCAGUAUUUCCAGGCUGGAUGGGAUAUGUUAUUUCUCCAGAGGAUUUUCUCUCAGUUGAUCAUGUCCAGAGAGGCGUCGAGGGGGCAUCCUGCUACCACAAUCCCCAAUCUCAGCUAUUAACCCGGGAGGAGGACACCUUUGGUCACACGGCCGAUCCCGCAGCCGCAGUCCAGAGCGCAGUGUGUGUCGGCCUUACCGGGACCCUGAAGAUGAAAAGAAACGAGACCAGGAAGUAAAACAAAAUUCUACUUUUACUUAAAGGUUGAGCUGAAAGUUAAAUACCUUAAAUGGAGGAUAAUUGUAGAGAUGUCGAGAUUCUGCACCUCAAAAGCACCGACAGCACAAACAAGCAGCCUUCAGUUCCUCGGGGCAACCAGACUAUGAACUUUACCACGAGGGAACAAAAAGUCACCUCACUUGAAUCAUGCUGGUUUUUCUUCCUUUUCAUUUGGUAUUCUGACCUCACUCCAACCCCUCCACACCAGGGGCCCCCGGUGUGUGAUUGUAUGAAAGAUGGGGCCCCGGGGAGCUCUGCGCUUGUUACAGGAGGCUUCCUGGUUUCGGUGAAUUACUGCCAUAUUGCUCUGUGAGUAUGUAGCUCAGUUUAAUCUGGAUGUAGUCUAAAUCUUUUUCUGCAGCACUUACUUUUAAUGGAGAUGUCAGGGUUUUAACAGGAGUUGUUUGAAGCCAAAGAGGAGUUUUUUGGGAGAGGAUGAUGUGUCGCUGAGCGCACGGCCGUAGAAGAGAAUCCUUUGGAUGUAUUUUGGUUUAUUAUUUAGCUUUCAAGUGAGAUAUUUAAAGUGGACAGAGCCAUUAUCACCAGCUUUAACUCAUAAAUUUACUAUUUUUAGAGCACAUUUUCUGUUUCAGUGUCCCAACUUUAAAGAGACACUACCUCCUAAGUACAGUAUGGUCGAAAGUAUGCGGACACCCUGGUCUGCAUAUGUUUGUGUGUAUUUUUGGUCUGGGGUUUGUUUUUACAUGUCUGAUCUCGAUCUUGAUAAUAAUAAUGUGCUUCCAACUUUGUGUCAACAGUUCGAUAAUGUCUUUUUUCCCGUUUCAACAUGACAAUGCCGUACACAAAGCCAGAUCCAUGAAGAAAUAGUUUUCCCAGUUUGGUGUGGAAGAAUUUAACCGGCCUUGACCCCGACCUCAACCCCAUCCAACACGUUCGGGAUGAACUGGAAACACUGGCAGCCAGCCAGGCCUUCAAAAACCAUAAUAACUCUUUUAUUUUGAAAAGAUGAUACCCAGUGAUAUAAUAAAAGAUGAAAUAUUGACAUGCAAGUGAUAUUAAACUGGUUUCAAACCUAUUUCUAUCAAGUUUAUUUUGUCUGUUUCUAUAAUCUGUCUGGGCAAACAGCAGCAGUUUAUUUAGUAUCAUCAUGUUUUAAACUGUGAAUGUUUUUCUUGUGGUAAUUUUCUGAAUACCAAAGCUGUAAGUAAGGUUGUAAAACAUGACAGUAAAGGAGAGAUAUUAAUAUUUUAAUCAGAUCUGAGCCAGAAAAAAAAUGUUUUAUGAUUAACAAUUUAUUAAUCGCUUCAAGCAACAAAGAGGUUCCAGCUUUUUAAGGAGUGUGAGAAUUUACUGCUUUUUCUGUUUCAUAUCACUAUCAUUUGAAUA